UACGUAGGGUGCAGGCGUUAAUCGGAAUUACGUGGGCGUAAAGCGUGCGCAGGCGGUUUGCUAAGACAGGUGUGAAAUCCCCGGGCUUAACCUGGGAACUGCGCUUGUAACUGGCAAGCUUGAGUGUGGCAGAGGGGGGUGGAAUUCCACGUGUAGCAGUGAAAUGGCGUAGAGGAAUGUGGAGGAACACCGAUGGCGAAGGCAGCCCCCUGGGCUAACACGUGACGCUCGAUGCACGAAAGCGUGGGGAGCAAAC
rnacentral:rRNA from 1 species